rnacentral:rRNA from 1 species
UACGAAGGGGGCUAGCGUUGCUCGGAAUCACUGGGCGUAAAGGGUGCGUAGGCGGGUCUUUAAGUCAGGGGUGAAAUCCUGGAGCUCAACUCCAGAACUGCCUUUGAUACUGAAGAUCUUGAGUUCGGGAGAGGUGAGUGGAAUUCCGAGUGUAGAGGUGAAAUUCGUAGAUAUUCGGAAGAACACCAGUGGCGAAGGCGGCUACCUGGACAAAUACUGACGCUGAGGCGCGAGAGCGUGGGGAGCAAACAGG